GGAGGAGAUAGUCCAUUAGGCACCCCUACCCCCUUUUCCCAGGGCAGGCUACUGAAUGAAUCCUAAUUCUCUGCAGUUUGGGGGAAGACAUCCAUUCCUAAAUCUAAGAGCCAGGAAGCAAGGAAGACUGACCUGAAACACAGCACACCCCUACUUCCUGCGGGAGUGCCCCAGAACCCACAGACACCUGGGUACCUUGCCCAGACUCUGGCUGGCUGUGUGACCUGGGCCAUUGACUCGACCCCUCUGGGCCUCAGUAUCCUCAUCUAUAAAGGCAGCCUAGAGCCCAGCCUGGCAGGUGGUACUGGAGGUCCUGGGUGCUACCCAAGGCUCAUUCUAGCUGGAAAGCAGGGGCUGGAACUGUAGAAGGCCCAGGGCUGGUCUCCUGCGCCUCUAGCUCUUGCUGUGUGUGUUAUUUAAGGCCAUGAUGAAUUAAAUAACAGCCCCCACCCAGACCCUGUAAA
ensembl:lincRNA Gm27030 predicted gene, 27030